GAUUUGGACAGCACAGGGAUGAAAGAGUGAAGAUGCUGGUUAACUCUUGCAUAAGGGAUUUGGACAGCACAGGGAUGAAAGAGUGAAGAUGCUGGUUAACUCUUGCAUAAGGGAUUUGGACAGCACAGGGAUGAAAGAGUGAAGAUGCUGGUUAACUCUUGCAUAAGGGAUUUGGACAGCACAGGGAUGAAAGAGUGAAGAUGCUGGUUAACUCUUGCAUAAGGGAUUUGGACAGUAUAGGGAUGAAAGAGUGAAGAUGCUGGUUAACUCUUGCAUAAGGGAUUUGGACAGCACAGGGAUGAAAGAGUGAAGAUGCUGGUUAACUCUUGCAUAAGGGAUUUGGACAGCACAGGGAUGAAAGAGUGAAGAUGCUGGUUAACUCUUGCAUAAGGGAUUUGGACAGCACAGGGAUGAAAGAGUGAAGAUGCUGGUUAACUCUUGCAUAAGGGAUUUGGACAGCACAGGGAUGAAAGAGUGAAGAUGCUGGUUAACUCUUGCAUAAGGGAUUUGGACAGCACAGGGAUGAAAGAGUGAAGAUGCUGGUUAACUCUUGCAUUAGGGAUUUGGACAGCACAGGGAUGAAAGAGUGAAGAUGCUGGUUAACUCUUGCAUAAGGGAUUUGGACAGCACAGGGAUGAAAGAGUGAAGAUGCUGGUUAACUCUUGCAUAAGGGAUUUGGACAGCACAG